rnacentral:lncRNA from 1 species
UUUUGUGUAUGACGAAGGGCAAAUUGGUAAAUUUAUUCUCGCUUGUGGUGUCUACUGUAUACACACGUGGCUUUAAUUUUGGUCCACCCUUUUGGUUUCCUCUUCCAUCAAUGGAAGCAACCAUUUUCAAAGUUCUCUGCAUUCAUUUCUCUCUCUUCCUGGUAAUUUCUCUUCUUCUUCCUCCUCUUUCUUUUUUAUAACAAUCUUUAUGGCUAAAUCGAAAGUUGUCUUUCAGCCCUCAAAUCCAAACACGUCCCACUUUUUUUACCCGUUUCAAUGUUCUCUCUCAAAUUCACUUCUUUCUCUCCUAUAUCCAAGUUCCCAUCACUGUAUUCGGGAACACUGGAUUCCAUUCAAAGUUUAUUCAUUUGUAGAUUAAGAUUUUGUGAAGGUUGUUCGUUUCGUCUAAUUUGUCUCAAGUUUAGCUCUAGUUUUGGUAAGCUUUUUCUCCAAUUAAUCUUUUUUUACUGCACUUGUUUGAGGCUAGAUUUUUGCUAGAUUUUGUAGAGAGUUUUGGAGAAGUGAGUUUCUUGUAUUGCUCACCAAAGUAUAUAUAGAGUGCAGA